GACGAACGCUGGCGGCGCGCCUAACACAUGCAAGUCGAACGAGCGAGAGAGAGCUUGCUUUCUCAAGCGAGUGGCGAACGGGUGAGUAACGCGUGAGGAACCUGCCUCAAAGAGGGGGACAACAGUUGGAAACGACUGCUAAUACCGCAUAAGCCCACGACCCGGCAUCGGGUAGAGGGAAAAGGAGCAAUCCGCUUUGAGAUGGCCUCGCGUCCGAUUAGCUAGUUGGUGAGGUAAUGGCCCACCAAGGCGACGAUCGGUAGCCGGACUGAGAGGUUGAACGGCCACAUUGGGACUGAGACACGGCCCAGGACUCCUACGGGAGGCAGCAGUGGGGAAUAGUUGCACAAUGGGGGAAACCCUGAUGCAGCGACGCCGCGUGGAGGAAGAAGGUCUUCGGAUUGUAAACUCCUGUUGUUGAGGAAGAUAAUGACGGUACUCAACAAGGAAGUGACGGCUAACUACGUG
rnacentral:rRNA from 1 species